rnacentral:rRNA from 1 species
AUUGAACGCUGGCGGCAGGCCUAACACAUGCAAGUCGAGCGGAUGAAGGGAGCUUGCUCCUGGAUUCAGCGGCGGACGGGUGAGUAAUGCCUAGGAAUCUGCCUGGUAGUGGGGGAUAACGUCCGGAAACGGGCGCUAAUACCGCAUACGUCCUGAGGGAGAAAGUGGGGGAUCUUCGGACCUCACGCUAUCAGAUGAGCCUAGGUCGGAUUAGCUAGUUGGUGGGGUAAAGGCCUACCAAGGCGACGAUCCGUAACUGGUCUGAGAGGAUGAUCAGUCACACUGGAACUGAGACACGGUCCAGACUCCUACGGGAGGCAGCGGUGGGGAAUAUUGGACAAUGGGCGAAAGCCUGAUCCAGCCAUGCCGGGUGUGUGAAGAAGGUCUUCGGAUUGUAAAGCACUUUAAGUUGGGAGGAAGGGCAGUAAGUUAAUACCUUGCUGUUUUGACGUUACCAACAGAAUAAGCACCGGCUAACUUCGU